rnacentral:rRNA from 1 species
UACGAAGGGGGCUAGCGUUGUUCGGAAUCACUGGGCGUAAAGGGCGCGUAGGCGGCUUUAUAAGUCGGGGGUGAAAGCCUGUGGCUCAACCACAGAAUUGCCUUCGAUACUGUAGAGCUUGAGACCGGAAGAGGUUAGUGGAACUGCGAGUGUAGAGGUGAAAUUCGUAGAUAUUCGCAAGAACACCAGUGGCGAAGGCGGACUGACUGGUCCGGUUCUGACGCUGAGGCGCGAAAGCGUGGGGAGCAAACAGG